rnacentral:rRNA from 1 species
UGAGGAAUUUUGCGCAAUGGGCGCAAUCCUGACGCAGCAACGCCGCGUGGGUGAUGAAGGCCUUCGGGUCGUAAAGCCCUGUCAGGUGGGAAGAAUGUCCCGGAACUGAACAGGUUUCGGGAGUGACGGUACCACCAGAGGAAGCACCGGCUAACUCCGUGCCAGCAGCCGCGGUAAUACGGAGGGUGCAAGCGUUAUUCGGAAUUACUGGGCGUAAAGCGCGUGUAGGCGGUCCUGCAAGUCUGAUGUGAAAGCCCCGGGCUUAACCCGGGAAGUGCAUUGGAAACUGCAGGUCUUGAGUACUGGAGAGGAUGGGUGAAUUCCCGGUGUAGAGGUGAAAUUCGUAGAGAUCGGGAGGAAUAUCAGUGGCGAAGGCGCCCAUCUGGACGGUAACUGACGCUGAGACGCGAAAGCGUGGGAGCAAACA